GAUUGGUNAUGGACGCAGUCUGAACCAGCCAUGCCGCGUGGAGGAUGAAGGUCCUCUGGAUUGUAAACUUCUUUUAUCUGGGAAGAAAUCCACGAAUUCUUUUGUGGUUGACGGUACCAGAUGAAUAAGCACCGGCUAACUCCGUGCCAGCAGCCGCGGUAAUACGGAGGGUGCAAGCGUUAUCCGGAUUCACUGGGUUUAAAGGGUGCGUAGGUGGGUUGGUAAGUCAGUGGUGAAAUCUCCAGGCUUAACUUGGAAACUGCCAUUGAUACUAUCACUCUUGAAUACCGUGGAGGUCAGCGGAAUAUGUCAUGUAGCGGUGAAAUGCUUAGAUAUGACAUAGAACACCAAUUGCGAAGGCAGCUGGCUACACGAAUAUUGACACUGAUGCACGAAAGCGUGGGGAUCAAACAGGAUUAGAUACCCUGGUAGUCCACGCCCUAAACGAUGGAUACUCGACAUACGCGAUAUACAGUGUGUGUCUGAGCGAAAGCAUUAAGUAUCCCACCUGGGAAGUACGAUCGCAAGAUUGAAACUCAAAAAAAUUGACGGA
rnacentral:rRNA from 1 species